rnacentral:rRNA from 1 species
CCCUUAGAUGUUCUGGGCCGCACGCGCGCUACACUGAUCGGUGCAACAAGCAUCCGUCCUUGGCCGACAGGCCCGGGCAAUCUUUGAACGCCGGUCGUGAUGGGGAUAGACCUUUGCAAUUUUUGGUCUUCAACGAGGAAUUCCUAGUAAACGCAAGUCAUCAACUUGCAUUGAUUACGUCCCUGCCCUUUGUACACACCGCCCGUCGCACCUACCGAUUGAAUGGUCCGGUGAAGCCUCGGGAUUGUGGCCAGUUCACUUUAUUGGGAGUUGGCUGCGAGAACUUGUCUAAACCUUAUCAUUUAGAGGAAGGUGAAGUCGUAACA